rnacentral:lncRNA from 1 species
UGGUGCAAUGAUGAUGAAACUAUCUAAUCCCAGCUCUAUGAGACCUUGAUUUGUUUAAGGUUUAGGAAUUACAAUGUUUAGUUAUUAUCUGAGCUUUUUGUUUAUUUUUUUAGUUAGAAAUUAGUGAUUAUGUUCCCAAUGAUUUUAAAUUUGACCAUGCUAAUUCUGAUAUUGUUGAAUCAGUUCACAGUUAUUAAUGAGGGAACU